GGCCCAGGGAGGUCGGCAACGACCACCCAGGGCCGGAAAGUUCUCCAAACUCGAUCAUUUAGAGGAAGUAAAAGUCGUAACAAGGUCUCCGUUGGUGAACCAGCGGAGGGAUCAUU
rnacentral:rRNA from 1 species